UACGAAGGGGGCUAGCGUUGCUCGGAAUCACUGGGCGUAAAGGGUGCGUAGGCGGUUUGUUAAGUCAGGGGUGAAAUCCCGGAGCUCAACUCCGGAACUGCCUUUGAUACUGGCAGCUAGAGUCCGGAAGAGGUAAGUGGAACUCCUAGUGUAGAGGUGGAAUUCGUAGAUAUUAGGAAGAACACCAGUGGCGAAGGCGGCUUACUGGUCCGGAACUGACGCUGAGGUGCGAAAGCGUGGGGAGCAAACAGGG
rnacentral:rRNA from 1 species